GUUUACUGUCAAUUCCUCAGGUAUGACCCCGAGACAGAGGAACCGGAGAUCAGUGAACCUGAAUCUGCAAGGUCUAGUAGGCGUUCCCUACGGUCACGUAGCUUCAAGGACUUAAUGGGCUUUGUUGAUAAAAGAGAAGCUGAGAUAAAAGAAAUGCUCAAACGUAAGAACAGUGACAACAAGAAACAGAUAAGUCAUAUCUCAGAUGUGCAACAGAACUCUCCUGUUUAAAAUGUUGUUGGGU
rnacentral:misc_RNA from 1 species